rnacentral:rRNA from 1 species
GUUGAACGCUGGCGGCGUGCCUAAUACAUGCAAGUCGAGCGAAUGGAUUAAGAGCUUGCUCUUAUGAAGUUAGCGGCGGACGGGUGAGUAACACGUGGGUAACCUGCCCAUAAGACUGGGAUAACUCCGGGAAACCGGGGCUAAUACCGGAUAACAUUUUGAACCGCAUGGUGCGAAAUUGAAAGGCGGCUUCGGCUGCCACUUAUGGAUGGACCCGCGUCGCAUUAGCUAGUUGGUGAGGUAGCGGCUCACCAAGGCAACGAUGCGUAGCCGACCUGAGAGGGUGAUCGGCCCCACCGGGACUGAGACACGGCCCAGACUCCUACGGGAGGCAGCAGUAGGGAAUCUUCCGCAAUGGACGAAAGUCUGACGGAGCAACGCCGCGUGAGUGAUGAAGGCUUUCGGGUCGUAAAACUCUGUUGUUAGGGAAGAACAAGUGCUAGUUGAAUAAGCUGGCACCUUGACGGUACCUAACCAGAAAGCCACGGCUAACUACGUGCCAGCAGCCGCGGUAA